rnacentral:lncRNA from 1 species
GCUUUUUCUUUUAAACCCACUUUUCGACCUCCUUCCGGGACCUGCAAACGAGCCUUGCGCGCAACAACAGUAAAAACAUCUUUGACGCCGAGGCAAUAACAUAGAAAAAUUCAUCCCAGCAGCCCUCAGCGAGCCUCUGACCCUUGGCCAGCCUCGAGGGGCGUUUUCACAGAGACGGAUGGCCUUUCGCCGAUGUUGGCGGUGCUGAGACAGAGUGCAAUGUUCGGAAAGGCUUUCGUGGGGCAGGUGCCUAGGUGCCCAGCAGCAUGCACACAAAAGAAGCUGCUUUAUAGAGUCAGGCUGAUCGGUUUGUUAAUCCAGGACAGGCAACAGCUCUGCAAGGUUUUAGGCAGAGUGGGGCGGGGUUUUUCCCCAGCUGCCCAAUAUCCUCCCCCGGGCAAUGCUGCCCGCGAGUGGCAGGGGGAGAGUUGCAUCGAGGACUUCAUGCAUCCACAGAAGUUGCUCUGCUACAGAGCAACAAUCUCUUCCGACCCCUGUUCUCUUCCCUCCCCCACAAAACCUGCCUUUUCUCUUGGAAGCACCUUCCUUGUGCUGUGAGCACCUAAGAACAACAGCCUGGGAAUCAGCCAGGGCACAUUCUGCCCUGCUGCCAUGCACCUAUGGAGCGCAGCAGCAUUCCUGGUGCUUCCUCGGAGGUGCCAACUGCGGAGCUUAACCCAGAGGGCCGUGCGCAGUUUGGCACCAGUGAAGAACACCAAGAGCGCCUAGAAGUAGAUUAGGACUAGCUGUUCUCCCCGGUUGACUCGCAGGUAUGGAGCAGCAGCAGCAGCUGCAGCAGCAGCAGAGGACCCCACGGAACAGCAGCAUCUCUGAUUUUCCAAUAGAACGUUGACCCUGUGUUGAUCUCGGUUACUAAGCGAUGCAAGCGACUGAUUUUCUUUCAUUGGGUUGGGACUUAGAAGUGGUGUCGGAAUGUGCGAGCCUCUGCUGGCACGUUACUACUUGAAUCGGUACUGGAACGGAUUCAGUUUCUGUGUGGCUGGUGCUUUUCCCCUUCUCUCGGAGGGGAGCUGAACGUUUAGAAUCCAGUUUAGUUGUUGCUGAGUGACCACAGGCGUAGAAUGAUUUUUCUAACUGCCGGGAGGGUCGCCACAAUGGAACUCUUCCUCCCAGGCAGAAAUGGAGAGAGCUUUUUGUCAUUUGCCACCCUUUAUCUCUCUCUCUCUCUCUGUAUGUGUAUGUCUCUUCAAGGGAUAAGUGCCAGCUGCAGAAUUGUUUUCAGUGAAGGGCAUAUGUUGAGGGGUGGAAUAAGCAUGUUUUCUCAAAUUGUACUGAAACAGGGUGGGUGCUUCAGGCAGGCAGUAGCUGACACACUGGUGAUGUGGAAGAAAUAAUUAUAACAGGGAUGUAUAAAGGGUGUGAGUAUACAUGUGCUUGGCUUCUGAUGGCUGCGCACACUCCAUGCCUUUAAAGCAACCCCCCCCAUCCUGAGAAUUGUAGUUUAGCUCUCACAGCACUGUAACUCCCAGCACCUUUAACAAACUGCACUUCCCAGGAUUCUUUGUAAGGUGGAGAAAUGUGCUUUAAAUGUUUGGUGUGUACACAGAACAAGACACACAAUUUCUCAUCUUUCAGUGGCAAAGCUUACUAUCUGGGAGAGAGCAUAAGAAUCUGCCUUAGCAUGCAGCUCUCAGACAACCCAUUUGUUGAACAUUCAUCCCAAUACAUUCGCAGGGAGAUUAGAAUAUUUAAUGAGCUUUCCUUCUGAUUUGAUUGUGGGAUACAUCAGAUGACAUUGUGUCAAAGCAAAUGUUAACCCACACUUUCUAGUGCAGUUCCCCAUCACUUUCCUUACUGCAAAAAGUUGAGUCUUCUGGGGAAGCAGGUUUGCUGUGCAAGACCCUCUAAGCAUUGCACAACAUGAAACUUGCAGCAUGUGAUUGAAUCCACCAGAAAAUAGACACAGUUUGCUUGUGCACUGAGUCAGACCACUUGCCCAUCUUCAGGCACUCAUGUGGGGGACCUUCCAAGCAUCAUAGUUCCUUACGAUGAGCUUUGAAUUCAAAUUGCACUCUAGCCAAGAGCUCAUUGGGUGCCCUUAAGCAAGCCCUUAUGCGCUUCUUCCAGCCUCCAUCUCCAGUACAGGGAAAAUUAUUCUGUUCUGUGUGACAGCAAUGGAGGCUGGUCUAUUAGGGCAAAGGGGGACUGCCCUCAGCCAGUCUCCACCUGCUCGCCUUCUUUCUUAGAACUAGUCCAGUGGGUGUCUCUGGCUGCCAUUUGUUCUAGCACCACCUACUGUUGGACUCCGUACCCUGCUGUCCUACCAGUGCAACUGAUGCUUCUGUUUUAUAAACUGGGUUGGAGGGAUUACGGUAUUCAGAUAAUGUUGACAAAGGGCUCUGAAUGCUGGAGGAAGAGCACUGGGAAUAUUCCUUAUAUCAGGGAUAGGAAACCUGUGGUCCUCUAGAUGUUGGUCUCCAACCUUUCACAGCCUUAGCUAGUGAAAGGGCGAUGGGAGUUGUAGUGCAACAACUGGAGGACUGCGGGGUCCCCAAACCCUGCUAUAAUAAUAAUAAUAAUAAUAAUUUAUGAGUUUCCCCAGCCACUCUGGGCGGCUAUAUUCCUCAUUGCCCAUCAGGAACUUCAUCAACAAGCAGAAAGGAUCCACUGCUUUUGCAACCCCUCUCCUUUCUUCCAAGAAGAGUUUCUUCCAGCUCUCUUGUUUGGACACAGCUCUGGGACAUGGUAAAUGAAAGUAUACCGUCUCUGAAUGUGAAAGCUCUGUUUAGUUAUCAUGGCUAAUUGAUAUGCCUAUCUAAAGAAAUCAGCCUAAGCUUCUACCCAUCACUAUACUUUGUUUCAGUGCGUCCCACAAGUUAAGGACAUG